ACAAAGGCUCUUUUCAGAGCCACCCACUGUUUUCAGUGAGAGAGCU
rfam:Equus caballus chromosome 20, whole genome shotgun sequence.